rnacentral:piRNA from 1 species
UGAGAGAACUUUUCAGAAUGCUACACAACAU